AGAGAGAGACAUGCGCGCAUAUCAAUAAGCGGAGGAAAAGAAACUAACUAGGAUUCCCUCAGUAACGGCGAGUGAAGCGGGAAGAGCUCAAAUUUGAAAUCUUCAAGGUUCUACCUUGACGAAUUGUAGUUUAAAGAAGUGUUUUCUGUUGGAGUUUUGGUAAAAGUUCUUUGGAAUAGGACAUCAUAGAGGGUGAGAAUCCCGUAUUUGACCAUUAUUUCCAGCUUUGUGAUACACUUUCAAAGAGUCGGAUUGUUUGGGAAUGCAGUCCAAAAUGGGUGGUAAAUUUCAUCUAAAGCUAAAUAUUGGCGAGAGACCGAUAGCGAACAAGUACCGUGAGGGAAAGAUGAAAAGAACUUUGAAAAGAGAGUUAAACAGUACGUGAAAUUGUCAAAAGGGAAGCGUUUGACACCAGUGUUGUUUUUCUGAAAAUCAAUUAAAGAACUGUUUAUGCUAAGCUGUUUAGACUUUAUCAGCUAUCUGUUUAGUUUUGAGCUUUUCUUUAAUGCACUUUUCAGUUAACAAGUCAACAUCAAUUUCUUUUGCUGUAAAAAAGCUUGAGGAAGGUGGCUUGAGAUUCGUCUUAAGUGUUUAUAGCCUCUUGCCUAUGCAGUCGGAGAGAUUGAGGUCUGCAGCGUAGAUCCUUCGGGGCUAGAUACAUUUGUGCUAAGUUAUAGCAUUUUAUAGACAACUUGUUGACUAUGAUUAGUCAUUGUAGCUUACUCGCUUAUGUUAUUUUACCUACGCUUAGGAUGUUGAUGUGAUACUGCGAGCA
rnacentral:rRNA from 1 species